rnacentral:rRNA from 1 species
GAAGGUGUGCUGUGAGGCAUGCUGGAGGUAUCAGAAGUGCGAAUGCUGACAUAAGUAACGAUAAAGCGGGUGAAAAGCCCGCUCGCCGGAAGACCAAGGGUUCCUGUCCAACGUUAAUCGGGGCAGGGUGAGUCGACCCCUAAGGCGAGGCCGAAAGGCGUAGUCGAUGGGAAACAGGUUAAUAUUCCUGUACUUGGUGUUACUGCGAAGGGGGGACGGAGAAGGCUAUGUUGGCCGGGCGACGGUUGUCCCGGUUUAAGCGUGUAGGCUGGUUUUCCAGGCAAAUCCGGAAAACUAAGGCUGAGGCGUGAUGACGAGGCACUACGGUGCUGAAGCAACAAAUGCCCUGCUUCCAGGAAAAGCCUCUAAGCAUCAGGUAACAUCAAAUCGUACCCCAAACCGACACAGGUGGUCAGGUAGAGAAUACCAAGGCGCUUGAGAGAACUCGGGUGAAGGAACUAGGCAAAAUGGUGCCGUAACUUCGGGAGAAGGCACGCUGAUAUGUAGGUGAAGUCCCUCGCGGAUGGAGCUGAAAUCAGUCGAAGAUACCAGCUGGCUGCAACUGUUUAUUAAAAACACAGCACUGUGCAAACACGAAAGUGGACGUAUACGGUGUGACGCCUGCCCGGUGCCGGAAGGUUAAUUGAUGGGGUCAGCGCAAGCGAAGCUCUUGAUCGAAGCCCCGGUAAACGGCGGCCGUAACUAUAACGGUCCUAAGGUAGCGAAAUUCCUUGUCGGGUAAGUUCCGACCUGCACGAAUGGCGUAAUGAUGGCCAGGCUGUCUCCACCCGAGACUCAGUGAAAUUGAACUCGCUGUGAAGAUGCAGUGUACCCGCGGCAAGACGGAAAGACCCCGUGAACCUUUACUAUAGCUUGACACUGAACAUUGAGCCUUGAUGUGUAGGAUAGGUGGGAGGCUUUGAAGUGUGGACGCCAGUCUGCAUGGAGCCGACCUUGAAAUACCACCCUUUAAUGUUUGAUGUUCUAACGUUGACCCGUGAUCCGGGUUGCGGACAGUGUCUGGUGGGUAGUUUGACUGGGGCGGUCUCCUCCUAAAGAGUAACGGAGGAGCACGAAGGUUGGCUAAUCCUGGUCGGACAUCAGGAGGUUAGUGCAAUGGCAUAAGCCAGCUUGACUGCGAGCGUGACGGCGCGAGCAGGUGCGAAAGCAGGUCAUAGUGAUCCGGUGGUUCUGAAUGGAAGGGCCAUCGCUCAACGGAUAAAAGGUACUCCGGGGAUAACAGGCUGAUACCGCCCAAGAGUUCAUAUCGACGGCGGUGUUUGGCACCUCGAUGUCGGCUCAUCACAUCCUGGGGCUGAAGUAGGUCCCAAGGGUAUGGCUGUUCGCCAUUUAAAGUGGUACGCGAGCUGGGUUUAGAACGUCGUGAGACAGUUCGGUCCCUAUCUGCCGUGGGCGCUGGAGAACUGAGGGGGGCUGCUCCUAGUACGAGAGGACCGGAGUGGACGCAUCACUGGUGUUCGGGUUGUCAUGCCAAUGGCACUGCCCGGUAGCUAAAUGCGGAAGAGAUAAGUGCUGAAAGCAUCUAAGCACGAAACUUGCCCCGAGAUGAGUUCUCCCUGACUCCUUGAGAGUCCUGAAGGAACGUUGAAGACGACGACGUUGAUAGGCCGGGUGUGUAAGCGCAGCGAUGCGUUGAGCUAACCGGUACUAAUGAACCGUGAGG